GGUCUCAGAGCGUUCUGUCGCGGCCUCCUCCUCGUUUCCUUGUGGGUUCUAACCCUAGUCUUUAGCCGAGGGAGGAAGAGGGAGAGAGGAAUCGAGGUGAUGGAAUCGAAUUCGAUGGAUGGAUAUUUGGAGAACAACGGGAACCACGCGCCUUUUGAUGGGCCCCUGAAGGUCAUCAUCGACACGGAUCCUGGGAUAGAUGAUAGCAUGGCCAUAUUAAUGGCAUUUCAAAAACCAGAGAUUGAAAUUUUAGGUUUGACAACAAUUUUUGGAAACGUGAGCACUGAAGAUGCUACUUGCAAUGCCUUGCUUUUGUGUGAGAUCGCUGGACAUCCUGAGGUUCCAGUAGCAGAAGGAAGCCAUGAGCCUUUAAAGGGAGGAAAGCCACAUGUUGCUGAUUUUGUUCAUGGUUCGGAUGGUCUUGGCAAUAUAUUUCUCCCACCACCUUUGGGAAAACAGAUAGAGAAAACUGCAUCAGAAUUUUUGGUUGAGAAGGUUUCUCAGUAUCCUGGUGACGUGUGCAUCCUUGCAUUGGGACCGUUAACAAAUUUAGCAUUGGCCAUCAAAAGAGACUCUUCCUUUGCAAACAAGGUGAAGAAGGUGGUUGUUCUUGGUGGGACUCUCUUUGCUGCUGGAAAUGUCAACCCUGCUGCGGAAGCUAAUAUUUAUGGAGACCCAGAAGCAGCUGAUGUGGUCUUUACAUGUGGAGCAGAUGUAGUAGUUGUGGGGAUAAACGUCACUACUCAGGUCAAACUUACAGAUGCAGACCUCUCUGAGCUAAGAAACUCCAAAGGAAAACACUCGCAAAUCUUGUAUGACAUGUGCAAGUUUUACCGAGACUGGCAUGUCAAAUCUGAUGGUGUUUAUGGUAUUUUCCCACAUGAUCCUGUAAGCUUUGCUGCUUUAGUUCGUCCAGACCUUUUCACAUUCAGAAAGGGGGUUGUGAGGGUUGAAACACAGGGCAUUUGCAUUGGGCAUACAUUGAUGGACCAAGGAUUAAAAAAGUGGAGCACCAGCAAUCCUUGGACAGGUUAUUCACCAGUAUCAGUUGCAUGGGCGGUUGAUGCGCCUGGAGUUCUUUCUUUUAUCAAACAACUGUUCAUGAAACCAUGAACUGAGAAAGGGUGACCGAAAGAAGUAAAUCACGUCUAUUUGGUCGCCUUUGGCAGAUAUUUUAAACCAAAAAUUGCUAUUUGCAAGUCUAAUAAGGAAGUGUAAUUGGAAUGAUUAACGAGGAAGAAUGAGUCCGAACAGGGAAGUCGGCAGUGGGAAUGGGACUGAUAGUGGAGGGGAGAAAGGCAUGGUCGAAUGUGAUUGGACUUGAGUGGCUUUUCCGAGGCAUCUCUUCAUGUCGAUUACGAUGUGUGCAAGGUGGUGUGGCCAUUGAUGACCACCAAUGAAACCGCCGAAGAGAGGAUAAGCGGAUUGUUAUGAACUCUAUCUACUCUAUGGCGUUGUUGUCACUGCUUCUGCGAGUGCGGUAAGACGAUGACCAGAUUGCAAUGGCAUUUGUCUGCCAUGAUGCGGAACGUGAGGGCUGGUGCAACGCCCCAAUUUAGUCCCCAAGUGCGGUAUUUGUAAGGGUGAUGAGUGCAUUACUGUUAGUUUCAGAUUAAAUAUUUUGAGCCAAUGAUUAAAGAUUAAUUAAUUAUCA